AUUAACCCAAAGAAAGAAUAAUACUUAUUGUACCCUUGCCUAACUAAAAACGAAUAUGGUGGUUUUAAUUUUAGACAACCAGCAUGUUACAUCUAAUGGUAUUACAGAAUAAGAGAGAGGAUACUGUAAUUGGAGGGUUGCUUUGACCAUGCUGUUGGGCUACAGCAACAGUUACCCAAACCAAGACAACGACUUUCUGUAAAUGUGAGAGGAAGGUGAAGUGGAUCUAGCUUUUUGUCAAGAGUUCAGAAGCUAAUGGACCUUUCCCUCUUUUGAAAGCCUGAUGACUCUACCUGUUGCGGAGAAUCAAUGUAGACACUAAAAUAUUUGCAUUUUUAUGACACAUUGUA